CAGUCGACGAGACUUUUUAUUUGAUGCUUGCAUCUUUUAAAAAGUUGAGUGGCGAACGGGUGAGUAACACGUGGGUAACCUGCCUUAAAGUGGGGGAUAACACUUGGAAACAGGUGCUAAUACCGCAUAACCAUCAAAACCGCCUGGUUUUGAUGUUAAAGAUGGUUCUGCUAUCGCUUUAAGAUGGACCCGCGGCGUAUUAGCUAGUUGGUGAGGUAAUGGCUUACCAAGGCAAUGAUACGUAGCCGAACUGAGAGGUUGAUCGGCCACAUUGGGACUGAGACACGGCCCAAACUCCUACGGGAGGCAGCAGUAGGGAAUCUUCCACAAUGGACGAAAGUCUGAUGGAGCAACGCCGCGUGAGUGAAGAAGGUUUUCGGAUCGUAAAACUCUGUUGUCAGAGAAGAACGUGUGUGAGAGUAACUGUUCACGCAGUGACGGUAUCUGACCAGAAAGUCACGGCUAACUACGUGCCAGCAGCCGCGGUAAUACGUAGGUGGCAAGCGUUGUCCGGAUUUAUUGGGCGUAAAGGGAACGCAGGCGGUCUUUUAAGUCUGAUGUGAAAGCCUUCGGCUUAACCGAAGUCGGGCAUUGGAAACUGGGAGACUUGAGUGCAGAAGAGGAGAGUGGAACUCCAUGUGUAGCGGUGAAAUGCGUAGAUAUAUGGAAGAACACCAGUGGCGAAAGCGGCUCUCUGGUCUGUAACUGACGCUGAGGUUCGAAAGCGUGGGUAGCAAACAGGAUUAGAUACCCUGGUAGUCCACGCCGUAGACGAUGAAUGCUAAGUGUU
rnacentral:rRNA from 1 species